rnacentral:rRNA from 1 species
UACGUAGGUGGCAAGCGUUAUCCGGAUUUACUGGGUGUAAAGGGCGUGUAGGCGGGACUGCAAGUCAGAUGUGAAAACUAUGGGCUCAACUCAUAGCCUGCAUUUGAAACUGUAGUUCUUGAGUGUUGGAGAGGCAGGCGGAAUUCCGUGUGUAGCGGUGAAAUGCGUAGAUAUACGGAGGAACACCAGUGGCGAAGGCGGCCUGCUGGACAAUAACUGACGCUGAGGCGCGAAAGCGUG